UCAGGAUGAACGCUGGCGGUGUGCCUAAUACAUGCAAGUCGAUCGGGCGUAGCAAUACGUCAGAGGCGUACGGGUGAGUAACACGUAGGUAACCUACCUUUAAGACUGGGAUACCCAGACGAAAGUUUGGCUAAUACCGGAUAACAACAUUUGAGACAUCUCUUUUGUUUGAAAGGCGCUGCAAGGCGCCACUUUUAGAUGGACCUGCGUCGCAUUAGCUAGUUGGUGAGAUAAAAGCCCACCAAGGCUGGGAUGCGUAGCCGAUCUGAGAGGAUGACCGGCCACAAUGGGACUGAGACACGGCCCAUACUCCUACGGGAGGCAGCAGUAGGGAGUUUUCGGCAAUGGGGGAAACCCUGACCGAGCAACACCGCGUGAGUGAUGAAGGGUUCCUUCGGAUCGUAAAGCUCUGUUACGAGGGACGAAUGAUCGCUUUAGGAAAUGAGAGCGGUUUGACGGUACCUCGCCAGAAAGCGACGGCUAACUACGUGCCAGCAGCUGC
rnacentral:rRNA from 1 species